rnacentral:lncRNA from 1 species
GUGGAAUUUGAGGCCUCCCCAGCGACCCACAAAAAAAGGAGGGAGAAAUGAAAGGAAGAAGAAAAAUUGAGCAUUUGUUUUUCUCUGACAAAGAGUAAAAUGACAGGGAAAAUCAAGCUGAACUCUUCCUGGAGACGGAAGAAAUCACAC